GAGAGAGUGAGUGUACGAGUGUGUGAGACUUGACUUUUAAAUUCUCCUAUUAUUAAUCAUUUAGAUUCCUCCAAAACUAGUGAAACAUAGUGGAUAGAUAAAAUGUGUAUUAAACAAAAAUGGAGGUAAUAAAAGAAACUUCAAUUGUUUAAAAGAGGCGGAAGUAAAUUUAACCUUAAAACUUCUGCAUCUACAGAGCAUGUAACUUCACCCGAUGCCCAUACUUCACAACUUCUUGCAACCUUUUAUAGUCGAAUAUGCUUUUACGAAUACGGCUCUUCUUUGGUGCUGGGAAAAGGUUGUGCGCAGGUCCUGCUGGUGUUCAGGACAGAGGACCGGGCUCUCAGGACAGACCGGUAGAACGUUGUAGUUGCUGAUAAGUCCAUUUUCCUCAAAUUCAGCAAAACUGAUGUUUGUCUUAAGUCAGAUCUUCAAUGCGCUUAAGUAAGGCACAGGUUGUACCGGCCCAUGCCAUCCCUUCCCCGUAGAGUAGCCUCUGUGCCAUCUGCAGUCGGAAAGUUCUGACCCGACAUAACAGGUCAAUCGAGCCCUGUUCGAGAGCAGUGAAACGAUGCCUCAGCAUGGAGACAAUCAGGUUGUUGACACCCAGUACUCUAUAAGACAACCGGGGCUAAAUGUGUGAGGGAGAGAGAGUGAGUGAGGGUGUGUGUGUGUGUGUGUGUGUGUGUGUGUGUGUGUGUGUGUGUGUGUGUGUGUGUGUGUGUGAGGGGGAGAGAGUAUGAAAGUGGGGGAGAGUGUGUGAGAGUGGGUGUGUGAGUGAGGUAGAUUGGGUGUGUGAGUGGGAGAGUGUGUGUGAAUGGGAGAAAGAGUGAGAGAGAGAGAGAGCAUAUGUGAGAAUGUGUGUGUGAGUGGGAGAGAGUGUGUGUGAGUGGGAGAGAGUGUGUGUGAGGGGGAGAGAGUGUGUGUGAGUGGGAGAGAGUGUGUGAGGGGGAGAGAGUUGUGGUGAGGGGGAGAGAGUGUGUGAGGGGGAGAGAGUGUGUGAGGGGGAGAGAGUGUGUGUGAGAGGGGGAGAGAGUGU
ensembl:lncRNA